AGAAACUACACAUCUAGAAGUAUCAAUAACAUAAAUGAAUAGACCUUCCUAUGAUAGGUUGAUAGAAGUUGGAGUCCAUAGACAUUCUGAUGUAUUCGAAACCGGCGAUGGGUUUGGAAGCUUCUGAAAAUGGAAAUGUCGAUGUACUGGAAGCUUUUGAAAAUGGCGAUGAAUUCGAAGCUAGAGAUGAAUGAAGCUAGAGAUGGUGAUGAAUCUGAAGCCAGAGAUGACAAUGUAUCAAAAGCUAGAGAUGGUGAUGUAUCCGAAGCUGGAGAUGGAGGAGAUGGCGAUGAAGCUCAAGAUAUGGUCAUUCAUAACAUUUAAUUUGGUCAUUUCCUUAUUGGUUUUU
rnacentral:misc_RNA from 1 species